rnacentral:sRNA from 1 species
UGGAUGACCCCACCAGCCAGGAAAUUGAGCGGGGCAAGUCAUACCUGCGGCUGCGGCCGGACCGUGUGGCCAUGCAGGAUGCGACGGCCCAGAUGGCCAUGCUCCAGUUCAUCAGCAGCGGGCUGCCCAAGGUGGCCGUGCCGUCCACCAUCCACUGUGACCAUCUGAUUGAGGCCCAGGUUGGGGGUGAGAAAGACCUGCGCCGGGCCAAGGACAUCAACCAGGAAGUUUAUAAUUUCCUGGCAACUGCAGGUGCCAAAUAUGGCGUGGGCUUCUGGAAGCCUGGAUCUGGAAUCAUUCACCAGGUAAAGCUGGGCUCAGCCUGCCGUCCCAAGGGCCGAAGCCAGAGAGUAUGUUCCAGGCCUAUGGGGGGAGGGGGUUCGAGGCCCAGGGGGGCUGAAGGGAACUGGAUGACAUCUCCAUCAGCUCUUAUGCUCUUCUUCGUUUUGAAACUGAUUUGCAUUAUGUCAUUAUACUUUCUCAUUUUCUGGGUGAGAAGUUAAAAUAAUCCCUCCUAACCACCCAGGUAACCAGCAUUUUAAGUGCGACAUGUUUCUUUCCACAUUGUCUUCUGGGCGUGUACUCAAGCAUCUCUAUUCCCGUAAACUCUCAUACAGAA